rnacentral:rRNA from 1 species
CCUACGGGAGGCAGCAGUGGGGGAUAUUGCACAAUGGGGGGAACCCUGAUGCAGCGACGCCGCGUGGGUGAAGGAGCGUUUCGGCGCGUAAAGCCCUAUCGGCAGGGAAGCAGGAGGACGGUACCUGACUAAGAAGCCCCGGCCAACUACGUGCCAGCAGCCGCGGUAAUACGUAGGGGGCACGCGUUAUCCGGAUUUACUGGGUGUAAAGGGGGCGCAGACGGCAGCGCCAGCCAGGCGUGAAAGGCCGGGGUCCAACCCCGGGACUGCUCUUGGAACUGGGCGGCUGGAGUGCAGGAGGGGCAGGCGGAAUUACUGGUGUAGCGGUGAAAUGCGUAGAUAUCAGGCAGAACACCGGUGGCGAAGGCGGCAUGCCGGACUGCGACUGACGUUGAGGCCCGAAAGCGUGGGGAGCGAACAGGAUUAGAUACCCCUGUAGUC